rnacentral:rRNA from 1 species
UACGUAGGGUGCGAGCGUUGUCCGGAAUUACUGGGCGUAAAGAGCUCGUAGGUGGUUUGUCGCGUUGUUCGUGAAAACCGGGGGCUUAACCCUCGGCGUGCGGGCGAUACGGGCAGACUUGAGUACUGCAGGGGAGACUGGAAUCCUGGUGUAGCGGUGAAAUGCGCAGAUAUCAGGAGGAACACCGGUGGCGAAGGCGGUUCUCUGGGCCGAUAUUGACGCUGAGGAGCGAAAGCGUGGGGAGCGAACAGG